ACAGCUCAAACCAGCAGUUUGUUAUAACAGCAAAAAGUAAUGAAGUUUCAGCAAUGAAGUCUUCAUGAUGAUGAUAAUGGUGAUCCUAUUUAUAGAUUCUUUACAAUUAUCUGUAAGAAAGAGGUUUCUGCUGCAGAGAAGAAAAAAAAUUGAUACAGUAAGAAGUUGCCCACUCUGUUCAAAUGAAGCUGUCUGAAGUACCCAGUAGGACAAUAUAUUAUUUCUGGAACAACUUAAUUGAAGUGAAGCUUACUAUGUGAAGAAGUUAUUUCUGUAUGCAAAAGGAAACUUCAGCAUACAGAAUACCAAUUGAGAUAUUUGUAGCUUCAGUUAUGGGAGAACACAAGAUUAAUUGAACUGGAAUCCCUUCAGACGUUGACAGCUAAAUUCCGCAGUUUCAACUAUAAAUGGACAUUAAAUUAAUAUACAUUGGUUUUAUUUUAUACAUGUAUUUGUUAAUAUUUUUGUUUUCCAUUAUUUCCCAAUAUUGUUAAUUUUGGAUAAUAUAAUGCCACAGAAAACUUGUCGGUCUUGGAGUAUGGCUGUUUAACAAAAACACUCCAGAUUGUUCGUCAGAACAAUGAAAUUACAGUUUUGCUUGUUAAUUUACUAAUUUACAUAAAUAUAUAAUUUUUGUAAGCAUGAAGAAAUUUGGAACAUAUCAUAUAAUGAGUAUUUGUUUCUUUUGCAUGCAAGAUCCAAAUAUAUUUCAUAGAGUGAACAGCAGAUUUAAUAUUUUCAUGAAUGGCAUUGAAAAACAUAUACAAUGUAUAACUUUGCCACAAAGUUGGUAAAUUGAGGCUGCUAUUUUACUGUGACUGAAAGUAGUUCAGAUAUGACGCCUUAUUAUGUCCGAGAUCUAUAGCCCAUCAUACAAGCCAAAGAGAGCAGAUUGUUUUAUCUGUGUAGAAUCAUUAAUUUUCAAUGUUCAUAUUUGAAAGUGAUUCUGUCAUAUUUCCUGAAUUUCCUUCAUGAUUUGCAAAUAUUAAUUUUCUACUCUUUAUUUAUCACAUUUUUCUGAGAAAUAAAUGUAUUUCCCACAAAAGUUCUGUUUGUUUAUAGGCUUUUCAUCCUCAUUCAAAUAAAGUCUGGCUUCUUUUGAAAUUAUACUUUAUUGUCAAAUAAUCUAAAAGUAAUGUCAUUUCUUACUGAAAAGCAUGUUUUAAGUUAUGGUGUUCAAUUGAUUUCUGCAGGACAACUUAUGAAGGAAAUGAAGUGUGUUGAUAAUUGCCAUGUUAGUAUCAAAAGACAGAUUUAGUUCAAUUUUGGCCACAAUAAAUUAUUUUUGAUGCAGUUAUGCCCCUUUUUAGCUCGACUUUUUCUUUUAAAAAAUAGAGGUAUUGUUACAGUCAUGUUGGCAUUGCCGAGGUCAUCCACAAACUUGUACUUUGAUCAUUACUUUUUAGCUCACUUGAGCACAACGUGCUCAUGGUGAACUAUUGUGAUCCCCCACCAUCAGUUGUCAUGGGUCGUCAAAAAUGUCUUUAAACAAAUCUCCUCAGAAACCAAAGACUGCACAGUAACCAAACUUUGCAGGAAUGACCCUACAGUUAGUGCCCUUUGAAACUUUUGUCCAGUGCCUAACUUGAAAACUAGUAGUUGGAAUUCAAAACAACUUCAUACAAUGGUCAAGCAAAAUAAGAGAAAGUGCA